CAGAACCAUCAGAACCAGGACCAUACAGAGUCAGAACCAGGACCAUCAGAACCAGGACCAUACAGAGUCAGAACCAGUUUUAGUUUUCCUGCUAAUAUCCGACUGAUGACUGACAGCUGAUCAAUAAUCAUCACCCUCUGAUCGUUAAAGGUCAAACAGAACGACGUGUUACUUUAAUGUCUGUUUGUCUUUCAGCCGCCAACGCUGUGAACGCUUCCGAGUCCGGCGGCGGAGGCGGUCCCGCGGGUCCGGAGGAGAACCUCUGUAAGAUCUGUAUGGACUCUCCCAUCGACUGCGUCCUGCUGGAGUGCGGUCACAUGAUCACCUGCACCAAGUGCGGCAAGAGGAUGAGCGAGUGUCCCAUCUGCCGCCAGUACGUCGUCCGAGCCGUCCACGUCUUCCGGUCCUGAGCGCGCCGACCCCUGACCUGCACCCAGGGUCGAGUGCCUCCAAAGAAAUAACCUGCAAACCGAUCCUCCUGAAGGGACCUUCUACAGAGACAGAAAAUGUUUCUAUUUUGUUAAUUCUAUUUUUCUCGUGCGAAUAAGAUGUGCGGUACGUCCGUAUGAAGAAUGUAAGAAGUGACCUUAUCAGACUGCAGAGCUGCUGUUUGAAUAAAAACACUGAAUGUACAGACCGACUCUACGGGAGGCGGAUCGCAUCUCUGAAUCACGAACUUUAACCUCAUCGACCGAGAAUCUUCUGUGCCUUCGCCAGCUCGUAACUCUGGACCUGCUCGCUGUGAAGAAGGUCGGUUUUUAAAAAAAAAAACGGGAUCCAGUAACGGAUCCUGAAACUGUAAGGGAUCUUGAAACUGUAAGGGAGCGUAGACGGGUGAGGAGGGUCCGCUCUGGCCUUCAUAAAGUCACCACAUCGCCUUUAACUUCCUGAGACACUCAGACUGUGUGACAGCCUCUACUUUGUUUACAGUCUGCAGUGAGUUUACACUGUAGAAAUAACUAGAUGAGGUUAAAGUCGAUUAAAGUCAGCGGACCUCUGAGUGUGCGCUUCCCACUCUCAGCCUCAGUUUAAUGUUUACGCACCGAUAUCUGAGUAACACAACCCAAACUAGUAAUUAAUGCUGUUUUCAGACCAGCAGCCAUUCAGAUGCCUUCAGAUCAGAUUAUCAGCAGGAAUAUGACCUCUGACCUCCGCCCAACCACGCACACUGAGCCCCGCCCCCAGCCUCAGGUGAUCGGGGCUACACCUGUCAUUCACACCUUUACCUGCAGACACUCAGGUUAGCAUCCAGCAGCUGGAACAUGUCGACAGUCGAAUGUCUGGUAGAGCGAACGCUGCUCAGUUUUCAGUUUUAACACUCUUGAUAAUAACUGGAUAAACAACCGGAUCAGUGUCUUUGCAAAUUCUAGCGCUGUAACAACAAAUAUAAUAUUUUUUGACUCUUAUCGUACUUUACAUUUUCACUUCAAGCCUAAACUGUUUCAGGAUUAUAUUUUAGCAUUUAAAAUGAGAUGUGAUUGUUUUUAUUUGAUACAAAUAUCAAGUACUUGAUCCUUCCUAAGCCCCGCCCCUUUGUGGUAUCUGCUCCAAUAACAGUUGAGCAUAUGUUAUGCUAAGCUAACCUAUGUUUAACAGAAAACCACAUUUUGUAUAUACCUCCAUGUUGAUUGUAUGAAAGUCACCUCAAUAGAAAUCACAUUUCCACAUUCUUGUUCUCCUACAGCUAUAUCUAUAUACAGACAUAUAAACAUAUGUAUAUAUAUAAUAAUAAUAAUCUACAUUACUCGUUAGUUAGCUCAGUGGUUUUCAAACGGGGGUCCUUGAGUCGGUUGUAAAUCCAGCAAAAGGAGGAAGAGAAUAUUUUAACUGUUAUCAAUAAAGUAGGCUGAUUUUAUUGAUUCAGAAUGUGGUUUGUCUUUUUAACAUAGAUUAGCCUAGCAUAUAGCAUAUCUAAGUACAGGAAAGGAGGAGGAGAGGAAGGAAAUGGGCAGGGCUUAAGAAGGGUCAAUUCAUUGUCGAAAAAGCAAUAAUCUGACAAAAUUUAAUCUCAAUUUAAUCCUAUUUUUCUAUGAGCUUUAAGAACUCCCUUUCAGUUUAUCUAACACGCCUUUGGAGACUGUCGAGUGUUUUAAUCCAUCAAAGAUCAGAUGCAGAAACAAUACAAUUAAGAUUAUGUGGAGAAUGAAAUAUCCAAUUACAAAUGAAUAAUUAAUAAAUAUAACUCAAUUCAGUAAAUUCCUAUUUGUCCUGUAAUUAGUACUAGGACUCUUAAGUAUUUUCAAAUAACUGAUAAAAUAGUUUGGUCUAAAAUAUUUCUUCAAACGUUUGUCGGACCAACAAUCAAAACCAAAAAUAUUCUGUUUAUUACUGUAGAAGACAAUUGAAAGUGAAGCUGGAGCGUUUGAUAGAUCAGCAAAGAAUAGUUGCAUUGAUGUGAAUAAAGCGUUUGUGUGAAAAAUUACACACUUAUCACUUCUCACCCUCCAUGCAGCAGACUAACAGGAUCCACCAGGCGGCAGCAGACACAGGAAACACACAUUUUACUUGGUGCUAAGCUAGGCUAGCAGUUUCAAACUCUCCCCAGUCUUUGUGCUAAGCUAACCAUGGACCCAGGGCUGUAGCUUACCAUGAGGUCAUUGCCUGAUUAUAUUUUCUUUCAGGGACUUUGACAGAUAUUAUUUUUUGUGUUUUUUAGGUGAUUCCAGUGUUUUUGGACUCAAAAUAUUAAUAUUUGUGACAAACUUUAGGGCAAUAAAGGAAUUCUUGCCAGCGUGGAGAAGUGUUGAGACAACAUUUAGCCUUUAUUUUUGGAAAAUAAAAUAGUGAACGCUCGGUAUAAUCUGCUACUAAUUACAAGGAAAACAGAGAAACAGUUCUGAGACAGUUAUUCAGAGUUUAUGCGGUUGGGUUGAGUUUGUAAACACUUGCAGAAAGUGUGAUGGAACCGCUUAAUUUCUGUCCUGUACCUAUCACUGGACACAGAACAAGAGGAUUUCCUAAAUACUGAACAUGUUCUUUUAAAUCUACAUUAGGUGGGAUACAAACAAUAGAAGGGACUAUUAUAUCCUGAGGGACACAACGUUUUUACCAGACAUGAUAUACAAGAGAUGCUUUACUGAUCCUUAAAAUCUACAUCAGGUUUAAUAGAAACAACAGAGGCACCAGGACGCUUCCCUGAGGGACUCCACAUGUUAUUGAAGACAGAGAACAACAUGACUUAUUAAUCUUUACCAGCAGACUGUCUCUGUUUAUUGUUGAGCGAGGACUAGCAGUUAAACUCUGUGGUUUUAAGUCGACUUUGUGUCUUGUUGUAACACUGAUUGCACUAAUCUGUUGAUGCUGAAACAUUUUUCAACUUCUUCAGUUGAUCUGUUUUGGUCGAAGAGUAUUGUUCUGGAAAGAUUAUGCAGGAUACAUAUUUUGUCUUUAUUUUUCUUGAGGUUUUGUUCUUGUGAGAUCAUUUAAGUUUGAUUUUUUUUGUUGUGAAUAUUUUAGAUUUUGAGUUUUUUGUGAUAUGAUGGUUGUUAGUACUUUUGGGAAUCACACUUUUCCUCUGUAAGUCUUUCCCUUUCGGUUGUACAGUGGGAUCAUGCUAGCUCUCAUUAAGUUUCUCUGCACUUUGAUUUCUCUGCUACCGUAUAGCUGAAUAAUGUAAUAAUCACAGUUCUGUGAGAGUUUUAUAUGACCAAAGCUCCCAAAAUACACAAUCUCUUCUUCAGGUGUCUGUUAGCAUCUGUCGCUGUCUCCACUGAGACCAACACAGCUGCAAGCUAACGUCGGUUCGGUUUUAACUCCUCACAUACUUUUCAAAUACUUUGUGGUCUGUAAAAAAUAAAUAUUUUAGAAAUUGAACAGAAAAAGAAGAAGCUUUAGUUUUCUGAGUGAACUUUGCUGAAUUAUUUUGUAAUAAAACUGAUUUUCUCUCA